rnacentral:lncRNA from 1 species
GUCUUUUCCUGGCUGUCCUGUGUUGGUGAUAAAUGGAUCACAAUUUCAGGACUUCACACCAUUUCACCAGUCUCCUCUAAUAAUUUCUACUGUUUUUUAUUGUCUCCAUGGCUUGAUGACUUUCCACUCUUCCAUCAAGGUCUUCAGAAUCCCAGGAGUGUCC